CAGCAACGUCCAUCUGGGCAUGCCUCUUCAUUUAUGCGGCAAGGCAUAUGCGGCCUUGAGCAUACUUUGGGAUCCUUGUGUUGCGUACCUACAUAAAGGCAUUGUGUUGCUAUAACGUUGUCAUGUUUUGUCACUCAUCGCUUAUGUGGUGUGGGAUGAACCUAGAAGUGGCCUCUUUGGUCCUUGCCUUUGAUGCGCUUGUGUCAUUGGCGUGGGCCUUUGGGUGUUGCUUGUUAUCUCGGAUACAGAACCUUAUGUGGGUAUGGGGUUUUAAACGACCUCAUCUUUACCCUACUCAAGCGUUCAUGUUCUUUGAAAUGACCGUUGGUUGCGUGUUGAUACGCUCAUGCGUGGCUGGCGAUGUCGAA
rnacentral:misc_RNA from 1 species